rnacentral:rRNA from 1 species
GAUGAACGCUGGCGGCGUGCCUAAUACAUGCAAGUCGAGCGAACAGACGAGGAGCUUGCUCCUUUGACGUUAGCGGCGGACGGGUGAGUAACACGUAGGUAACCUACCUAUAAGACUGGGAUAACUUCGGGAAACCGGAGCUAAUACCGGAUAAUAUUUCGAACCGCAUGGUUCGAUAGUGAAAGAUGGCUUUGCUAUCACUUAUAGAUGGACCUGCGCCGUAUUAGCUAGUUGGUAAGGUAACGGCUUACCAAGGCAACGAUACGUAGCCGACCUGAGAGGGGGAGGGGCGAGAUGGGAAGUGGGACACGGCCCAGACGAAGGGGGGAGGGAGCAGUGGGGAAUGUGAGGCAAUGGGGGAAAGCAUGACGGAGAAAGGUGAGGGGAGUGAGGAAGGUGUUAGGGGCGUAAAACUGUGUUAAGGGGGAAGAAGAAAUGUGUAAGUGAAAGUGCACGGAGUGACGGUACCUAAUAAGAAAGAAACGGAUAACUACGUG